GAUGAACGCUGGCGGCGUGCCUAAUACAUGCAAGUCGAGCGAACGGACGAGAAGCUUGCUUCUCUGAUGUUAGCGGCGGACGGGUGAGUAACACGUGGAUAACCUACCUAUAAGACUGGGAUAACUUCGGGAAACCGUAGCUAAUACCGGAUAAUAUUUUGAACCGCAUGGUUCAAAAGUGAAAGACGGUCUUGCUGUCACUUAUAGAUGGAUCCGCGCUGCAUUAGCUAGUUGGUAAGGUAACGGCUUACCAAGGCAACGAUGCAUAGCCGACCUGAGAGGGUGAUCGGCACACUGGAACUGAGACACGGUCCAGACUCCUACGGGAGGCAGCAGUAGGGAAUCUUCCGCAAUGGGCGAAAGCCUGACGGAGCAACGCCGCGUGAGUGAUGAAGGUCUUCGGAUCGUAAAACUCUGUUAUUAGGGAAGAACAUAUGUGUAAGUAACUGUGCACAUCUUGACGGUACCUAAUCAGAAAGCCACGGCUAACUACGUG
rnacentral:rRNA from 1 species